rnacentral:rRNA from 1 species
AUGCUAGUUGUACGAGUUUAGACUCGUAGCAUAUAGCUCAGUAACACGUGGCCAAACUACCCUACAGACCGCAAUAACCUCGGGAAACUGAGGCCAAUAGCGGAUAUAACUCUCAGGCUGGAGUGCCGAGAGUUAGAAACGUUCCGGCGCUGUAGGAUGUGGCUGCGGCCGAUUAGGUAGAUGGUGGGGUAACGGCCCACCAUGCCGAUAAUCGGUACGGGUUGUGAGAGCAAGAACCCGGAGACGGUAUCUGAGACAAGAUACCGGGCCCUACGGGGCGCAGCAGGCGCGAAACCUUUACACUGCACGACAGUGCGAUAGGGGGACUCCGAGUGCGAGGGCAUAUAGCCCUCGCUUUUCUGUACCGUAAGGUGGUACAGGAACAAGGACUGGGCAAGACCGGUGCCAGCCGCCGCGGUAAUACCGGCAGUCCAAGUGAUGGCCGAUAUUAUUGGGCCUAAAGCGUCCGUAGCCGGCCGGACAAGUCCGUUGGGAAAUCGACGCGCUCAACGCGUCGGCGUCCAGCGGAAACUGUCC